rnacentral:rRNA from 1 species
UGGGGAAUUUUACACAAUGGGGGAAACCCUGAUGUAGCGACACCGCGUGAGCGAAGAAGCCCCUUGGGGUGUAAAGCUCUGUCAGCAGGGACGAAAAAAAUGACGGUACCUGCAGAGGAAGCAUCGGCUAACUACGUGCCAGCAGCCGCGGUAAGACGUAGGAUGCAAGCGUUGUCCGGAUUUAUUGGGCGUAAAGAGUUCGUAGGCGGUUCGUUAAGUCUGGUGUAAAAGACUGGGGCUCAACCCUGGGAUCGCACUGGAUACUGGCGGACUAGAGUGAAGUAGAGGCAAGCGGAAUUCCCAGUGUAGCGGUGAAAUGCGUAGAUAUUGGGAAGAACACCGGUGGCGUAAGCGGCUUGCUGGGCUUUAACUGACGCUGAGGAACGAAAGCUAGGGGAGCAAAUGGGAUUAGAUACCCCGGUAGUCC